rnacentral:rRNA from 1 species
UAACGAAUCUUCCGCAAUGCACGAAAGUGUGACGGAGCGACGCCGCGUGUGGGACGAAGUUCUUCGGAAUGUAAACCACUGUCAGGGGUUAGAAAGUUCUGAUCAACCCCAGAGGAAGGCACGGCUAACUCUGUGCCAGCAGCCGCGGUAAUACAGAGGUGCCGAGCGUUAGGCGGAAUCACUGGGCUUAAAGCGUGUGUAGGCGGAUUUCUAAGUGUCUUGUGAAAUCCCAUGGCUCAACCAUGGAACUGCUGGAUAUACUGGGAAUCUUGAGCUACCUAGGGGCGACCGGAACAAAUGGUGGAGCGGUGAAAUGCGUAGAUAUCAUUUGGAACGCCAAUGGUGAAAACAGGUCGCUGGGGGUAUGCUGACGCUGAGACACGAAAGCUAGGGGAGCAAACGGGAUUAGAUACCCCCGUAGUCC